rnacentral:sRNA from 10 species
UGCUGGGAUUAUAAGUGUGAGCCACCGUGCCUGGCAAUUUUUGUUUCUUUUAAAAUAAAACAACCUUUGCUCCUUAUCCACUCCCACUGCUUCACUUGACUAGCCUAAA